rnacentral:lncRNA from 1 species
CUGUUCCCCGUCAAAGAGCUGUAGGAGGGCGAGUUAAAGAGUUAAAAAGUGACAGAGGUUGUCAAACUUUACUCUACCCCAAGGGCCAAGAGAUGCUCCUGACUGCCUCUUACAAGAAAUUUGCAGACACGUGCACUUGGGUUUGACUCACUUAACAUGUCAAGACAUCAGAUCUUCACGUCAUGAGCAAGGGGCACAAGCAGGUCAGUCAUAGGACCUGCGUUUGAGACGUGCCCUGUUGAUACCUGGAGGAAAGAAACGUCCUUAUCUCUGAAGACACAAGACUUCAGAGAUAGAUCUGAACAAACACCUCUUCAAACCCAGGAGUGUGUCAACUUCUUGGUUGCAUUGCUUUCUUCAAAGAGAGAGUGAAUCCGGUAGAGAUAGAAAGGAUGUCCUUUACGUAUCCCACAGCGGCCUCACGGAGAACGAUAAGAGAACAAUCAUUAAAACUUUCAUUGCCAUAAUUUUCUGCUUUCGUUUUUUAAAAGUUUGGGUUAGCAACCAAUUUCCUCCUUGACCAGGUGAUUUUUUCCUUAGACUGUUUAUCCAGAGC